GGUUGCCACCAGUGAAUACUACAGCCAUUAGUGCUGCACAGGAGUGUGGACACACUGCAUCAGCCCUCAUCCUGGCUGGCAGUGAUAGUGGUGGUGGCUGACAGGUGCUGCCCGCUUUCGCUGAUGGUGUUGCUCAGCCAUUGGGCUGGUGUGUUAGCUGGAAGGAGGAACGACUGCAGCUGUGCCUGGGAGGACAGCUGUCCCUUCUGCCACUGUGAAGCGGCUCUGGGGUGUAAAUGGAUCUGCUGACUGUGGAUGGAGGGUUGCUGUUUCAGGAGCAACUGCAAAUUCAGACACAUGAGAAUUGAUAAGCUGACACAAGCGGCCUUCCUCUGAAGAGCGGCCUUGCAGAAAGUCUGGGGAACCAGACAGAGGUUGAGAAGGCACCAAAGAGAGAUGGAUGCAAGGUGGCUGUGAGGCCUAUUGAUUCGAAAACCACCUUCCCCACAAAGCAGAGACGGAAAAGAAAAGCAGCAGAGAUUCAUCCAUCUGCUGCUAAGGACACAGAUGAGCCCCCAGCUAGAAAACUACCUAUGGUGAUUCUUGCUUCAGUCCCACCUGAAUACACCUUGGUCAGCACUGAAGUCAUAAAACUUCCAAGCAGUCUGGAACUGCUUCCAGGAACACAGGCAUACUCUGUGGCACAGUCAGAGGUCUCAAACUCAACAGCCCAUUCCUCACAAGAAGCAGAUAAGACGCAGCAGCUGAGCUGCACAGAGGCGGGGAAAGCACUCGUCUCUGAAGAUGAUGACCUUCAGAAGUUAUUGAUGGAAAUCACAGGAGAACUGGAAGGAGAAAAUGAUGUGGACGCUGAAAAGGGUGUGGAUGAGCUCCUUCUGGAACUGUCUGAGAUCACUGACAGCGUGAUACCACAGUCUGAUUGUAAUUUUUAAGACAAACAACAGCAACAACCAAUUAAAACCAACCCUGUUCCUUUUCAACCCUGUUCCUUUCCUUAUUCUGAGGGGACACUUUUUCUGAAACUUUGCAAUGAGUCUUAAAGCAGAGUCAAACUGGUAAAAAUCAUUGGUGAAUGGAUUCUGUUCUCCCUGUUCUCCCAAUUUCCCUGUUGGUCAGAGUUCAGGGGCUGUGUGAGCUGCCAUUCCCCAACAACAUCAAGAGAAGCCAGGGCAAAGUCCUCUCACUCAAGUCAGCCUCAGUUAUCGUCUUUCAAACACCAUGAUAAAACAUUCAGGAACAACAAGAACAACAAGAAUAACAAAAAAAUCAUCAGUAUUUCAUGAGAGGAUUAAAUAGACAAAAUAUUUAACUUAAAUUUAAGAUGUAAAUAAUGAGGAUAUUUAGCAGUAGCCUCAGUAGUAUGUCCGAUGGAAAGCCAGGUGGCUUAAUUACAAUGAUCUACCCAAUUGUCCCCAAUCUGAGCUGCUUUUGCCUUAUUUUCCAUCUUCUUUACCUCUGCAGGCCUAUUUAGCAAUCCUGGCAUUGGUUUUAUACCUGCCAGUUGAACCUUUGAAGUGAUCUUUAUUUCAUAUUCAUAACUGAGGCUCAAUUUCCAAUUUCCUUGUUCCAAAACAUGGACAUGCUUGUCACUGUGAUGGAAACAUUUCUCGAAAUGCCUAGCUUUAUAUCCAGUACUAGUUCAGUCUCUAAAAAAAAAAGAAAAAUCAACCUUUUCUUUAAGGUUUUGAAAAUGAGAGUUGAUCUGUCAUUAGGCUGUGUGGAUUCAGCAUGCAGUUCAAGGCAUUUUGUCACCUUCACUCACAGAAGCCCUAUCUUCUAGUUUCUAGAUUCAGUGUAACUCUUCUCUGUUACACUGGGUUUCAGUCAGGUUGCAUUAUUCUCAGAAGUACAUUCAGUCAGAUCAUCCAUAUCUCUUUUUAUUCAUCCUCUGAAGCUUCUACAAGAUGUAGAGUUAAAAAAAAUACAUAUAUUUUAUUAUUAAAUACAUAUGAAUAGGGGCAGACUGGGAAUUAGGAAAAAUCUCUUUACCAUGAAGGUGGUGAAAUACUGGAACAGGCUUCCUAAAAUGUGGUUGAUGUCCUGUGGUUCUCAGUGUUCAAGAACAAUUUGGUUAAUACCUUCAAGAGUACUUUUAAUUUAAAUUUUUAAUUUAAAUAAUAGUAUUUAAAAUAUUUUUAUUAACUUUUUGUUAUCCCUGAAGAGAUGAGACAGUUGGACUAGAUAAUUUUUGUAAGUCCCUUCCAAACUGACUGCACUGCCCAGCUUGAAAUCAUUGACUUGAAAUUCAGUUGUUGGCCAGUAACACAUGGAAUAUCCUGGCUGUUAAAACUAAAAUCAUUAUUGUUUAAUAUCUUUGUCAGUAAACUAGAUGAUGACAUAGAAUACCUUCUUAGCAAAUUUGCAGAACACUACUAAAUUGAGUGGACCAAUAUUGGAUUAAAGUUUGAGAUGAAAGUAUGACUUACAUCAAGAUAAAAUGUCUUCAAGUUCAAAUGCAGGAAGAAAUUGGAUGUGAAAUUAUAGUUCUCAUUUCAUGCAUUCAAAUAAAUCUUUCAAGUCUAUAGAUUGUGGAAAUAAAAAACAUGUUGAAGUAAAAAGGAAGAAGUUGUCUAAGCAAGUGAUGACCAGUAUAAAGUAAGCUUUAUAUAUGUAUAUAUACGUAUAGCAGUUUGGGUAGAAUUCUAUGGAGGCAGAUAUUUCCCAACCUUAUGUUUUCUUUGUCAAGAUAAUUUAUUUUAACAGUGAAGAAAUUUCAUCAGUUUUUCCUGUCUGGACUUCAAAAUAGAUGUUUUAUCACUACAAGAGAAUUUAAACUGAAGGUGUUGAGGAAGAUAAGGUUUAUUAAAAGAACUGAAACUAGGCAAAGAGCUAGCCAAAGGACAGGCAACAGUGGAUUGAGUAAAAGUUUGAAAUAUCAUGCUUGAAAGUUUAUUUAAUCGUGAAUAACUGAUCUUACAAAUGAUUUUGCAUAGUAUUUUCAUUGAUGAUGCAUGCAGAAAAAAAGGUCAUUUUCUAAUGAACAAUGGGUGUCACUAAAAACUAAAAACUAUUGCUGGUACACUAGAAGACUGAUAAUACCAUACUGUAAAAAUAUCAUACUAAUUAUUAAUGCUGUAUAUAAUCCUGUUGCCCCAAGUUUAGGAAAUAUUGAUUCAAGUAGGGUUUUAUAGAGAGAGCAGUACUGAAAUCAAACUGAUGGAAGAAAUUUUCACAGUAGAUAUGGUAAAAUGAACUUCCUGCUUCUUUCUUAUGAAUAGAUCAAGACUGGUAGUGGUGGGGAAAAAAAAAAAGAAAGAAAGAGAUUUUGUUAAAGUAAAGACCAAGAUGAACUAUAAACAGCUAUAACCUGACAAAGCCCAGAUUAAAUUCCAGGUAUUCAGAGGAAAGAUUACAGCCAUAGAAAGAAUGAGAAUCAUCCAAGGAACUUUCAAAAAAGAAAUGUAUGAAUUUCAAUGAGAAUUGUUUUCAUAUUUUUAAUUUACUUUCCACCAAAUCUCAAAGCAAAAUGUAAGGUAUUUGUCUGCCUACAGACACCCAAACUGGAGAGAUUAACUGCUAAAGCAAAUUUCUACCAUCUGCUCUAACAAUAUACAAGUGCAAGGGAGUAGGAAAAUGGAUAGGGUGUCCUUUCUGCUCUAAGUGAAGCAAAUAUCCUAUUUUUGGUGUGAGAUUAUAUUUACAGCAAAUUCAGACAAUCUGGAUGUUGAGCUCUGGGCAGAGAACUGUCUGGGGAUUCAGUUUAUUGGUAAAAGUAAGGAGGAAUUUAAGAAGAUUUCUGUAGCAGUUGAGACCCCCCAAAUACUGGGGAUUUGUCAAUUGUAUAUGUUUGUUUUUGAUAGAAGAGGCUCAUUUUUCAAAUUAUUGUUUGAACUAAAUAUCCUGAACUUAUCUGAGGAUAAAAAAUUGUCAGAUGUAGGAAAAUAGAAGAAAUUUUACUUAUUAGGAAAAUACCAGUAGGGAGAGAACUGGAUUACUUCAGCAGCAAUUACAAAUAUGUAUAUUCCUUGUUCUAUUUAAUUCACCCCAGAGACUAAGUUUACUGCUUCUGAGGUAAAUUCUCUGACUUGUAAAAUAGUCUGUUGACUGUUGUAAGAUUAUGGACCUCUGAAUAUCUUUCAGGGAUAUAUUUCAUUUUGUAUAAAUAAUUCAAAAAUCCAGAAAACCAGAGGUUUGGACUGAAAUUCCCAAAUCCAAAACGUGGUAUGAAUUCAAUCUUCAAGGUCUUGCUCUAAUAUUUUUUCAUAUUUGUCAGAUACUAGGUUUAUCCUGAAAGAGUGCAGGAAAACGUUUAUUUCUCAAAACAUUUAUGUGGUGAAAAAUGUAUUUUCUGCUCAUUUCUUAAGGAAGAUCCAAUAAACAUCUCAAGCAAUGAAUCAUAAAACACAAAGAUCUCAGUUCUUAAUUCCACAUAGGCCUAUUUCAUUUCAAACAUUUGCUAUCGACCUUGUAAGACACCUGGUGUGCUGAAGUUUCAUUGAUAACUUUUGAUAUUUCAUUUUUAUGGAGGAGAUUAUGAACAGUUUUUCCUUUCAGUGAGAAUUCAUUGGGAUGAAAAAAUUGAGCAGGGGAUAGGUGUUCACAUAUCCCAAGGUUAGAUACAUAACCUUGCUGACCGGUUUUCCUACGGUCUCCAUACACUCAAUGCAGAAAAACAGAUUUUGAUCUUUGCAAGUUUAUUCAGAGUAGGACGUUGGCAUUUCAGAGGAGAAUCCUUCUAUAUUGCUACUGAUUAUCCUGCAGCAUGUACAUUCCCACUGUCAUAUUACAGUUUUGAGAAAUCAGUGUUUUCUAUCAACAUCAGUUUGUUGAAAAAUUCCCAGUCAGUGCCAGUUGGCAUGUGUUUACAGAUAGCGAGUCAGCCACACAUGCUGUCCGCUGGCACUCUGGGCUGUUGCUCAGACAGACUCUAUGAUCUGAUGAGUGUUUGGCAGGUUGGUUGUAGUGAAGUGGCAAAGAGAUAUUUCUGUCAUCUGCUUCUCCAUCUCCCAUGGCGGUCUCAUGGAAGUUACAAGGUCUCUACACAGAGCAGCAACUCUGAGACUGCAAAUGGAUGUUGAAAGAACCUGAUAAAAAAUAGCUUUUAUAAUAGAAUGUGGCUGGAGAGAUUGAGCACUGUUAAGCUCCUGGUUAGCACAAUAUAAAAAUACUUAUUUUAGGGGAAUAAGCAAAACAAAUGUAAAAAUAAUUACUAUAAAUGUUUUCUUUGACAUCUUGCAGUCUGGUGGCCUGUAGAAAUUUUUGUCAAGAGAAUUUUUUUUUUGAGAACAAGAAAUAUUGAUUUAUCUAAACUUUGCAUUCCUCUUCUGCUUGAGUUACUUGCUAUACUUGAUUUAAAUUUAUGAAUAAUUACCCACUGCAUAACAUACUCUCCCUCUCAAAUGACACUUCUGGUCAGCUGUAACCAAACUAAAGUAGAAACCUCAGUAAAGAUGAAAAAAGGAUUAAAUUCCGCCAUACCCUAGUCUGUCAGUACCAUAUGGAUCCAGUGUUUGGUUCAGUGUGCAGCUGAUUCAGGGCCUUCUACUUCUCAGGAUGCCACUCUGAGUUGCAAGAACAUUUCACACCACAAUACAAGUCUCUGUUUAUUCAGCUUACUUACCAAGGCCAUAGUUCCACUUAAAUAGCCACUGCUUUCCUCUUUUGUACGAUCACAUAUUCCACCUUAGCAUUAGCUCUACAUAUGGUGGCCUGAAUUGUAUUUUUCUUUGCAGAAAACUUGAUAUGAGCUUGACUGCUACAUUCUCAACCUUAAUCACUUACUAGAGUUUGUGCUGCUUUCCCUCAGUUUGUUUAAUGUCUUUCACAGAAUUUUCAGUGUCUCCAAAUUCUUCUUUUAUAUUUUCUCUGAUGUUUUCAUAAGGAUAUCUUAUUUAUCAGAAUUCCAAAUCUAACUCAUCAAACUUAGGAUUUCCAUUUUCUUCCUAGCUUUCCUUACCAAUUUGUAGGGCUUUCUUCUACAGCACUUCUAGAGGAUGCUUUUCCUCUCACUCUUUUCUUCCCUACCCUAUUACACUUCAUUAAAACUGUAUUAGGUCUGACCCUAGGUUUGACUAACACUGCUGCUCUUUCAUGAAAAGCAAUGCUUAAAUUUUCAUUCAUAUUCUUUUCUGUAAUAGAGGAAUUGGCUGACACCUUCUCUGGCAUGUAAUUCUUAUAUUUGCAGUUGCUAAACAUAGAAUCAUAGAAUAAAUUAGGGUUGAGUAGUUAUCUGGAGGACAUCUGGUUCAAACUCUAAACACUGAGUUUUUUUCAUUGGUAACAGUAGGACUUAUUCCUGUUCACUCUGGGUUCUAUGACUUCGAUUAUGCAUAAAAGGGCAAUUAAAGCUAUUUUCCAAAUGUCAUGCAAUAUACUUUAUAUUCUUUGAUGAUAAAUGCAAUCAACCUGAAGGAAUUAAGCAUUUUGGAUGUACUAAGCUGUUUGAUCUUGUUAAAAGGAGUGAUUAUAGGAAGAUUUAUCACAGUUAGGAGCCAAGUACUCUCACAGAGUAUUAAAGACAGACUAUUAUAACAGAGUUCUUCAAAUGAGGGCAAGUAUGAGCUGUAUCAUUGAAAAACCACUCUUAGUUGAGCUUAUUUUUAUAAUCUGGAAUGGACUUUCUUUGAGAGGAUCAACUGCCAAUUCAGUUUGUAAAUUGCCUGUGAGUAAUGUAUGAUGUCUGAUCUGAUUAAUUGAAGGUCAUGCCAAUCACAAAGCUAAUAAAAAAAUAAAAAAAUAUAAAAGCAAUUCUACUUGAAAUAUGAAGUAGCUGCAGUAUGCCUGAUGGUUAUUGUUGAGAAAUUGAUCCUCAUUCUUUUUUGAGCUAAUAUUUUCUUUCUGAAUUAAGGAUAAUCAUACUAGUUAAUAUUUCUUUCCUUAACUAAAUCAAAAAUAUGUAGAGAUUUGUUUGGUCUUUGUCGUACUGCUAUGAGAUAGAGCCAGAUUUUAGGUAUAUGCAAGCAAGAUGGAUGAAAGAGAAAUACAGGCUUAAUCUUAUCUUGUUAAAGUUGAGGAAAUUUUACAUUUGAUUUCACUUAGAACAGGUAGAAUCACUGAAUUACAAUCUGAAUAUAGUCUAAAAUCUUAGUAACACUUAGUACCCCUUUUGAUAUGUGGCAAAUUGCUGGUGCAUCUCAUCUGGGUAACACUUCUAAAAUACAGCAGCAUGAAUUAAAAACUAAGAGAUUUUAUUUUAGUAGAAUAAACAGGACUUAUUAGUAUUAAAAUUCUUUUAUAUUUCAACUGAUAGUUUCCAUUGGUUUGUGUCCUAAAGGGUAGGAUAAAUUCUUAGCCUUGGCAACAUGCAUUCACUGAACUUCUGAGAUAUCUUCCCUCGGUUUUCUGUAACUUUGCUUCAUUUUUCAUGCCCACUGGAGGUGAAGGCUUAUUCUGAUUUUGUAUACGCACUCCUUUGUACAUGCCUCUAGAAUGCAGUAUCAGCUUAUUACUGCUAUUGUAACAAUGAUUUCUUAUGAUUCAGUUAAUAUUAGGACAUCUUGUCCAUCUCAUUGUUAAUGAAGAGUCAUUUCCCCACUACAUUUUCAAUUUAUUUGAACAAUCUACAUUAAAGUAACUCAAAUCGAAGGGGCUUCCACUGUUCACACUGGGAGGUUACUUCAUUAUUCCACAUUGCAUUAUUCCACACUUACGUGAUGUACAUUAAACAAGUCUGCUAUUUCACUACUGCCAUGAAUAUUACUUUGUUCUCAUUUUUAGUUAUUCUUUUUACACAGUAUUCAAACUCCUAAAAAACUCAAGGAAAGUAACUUUUUCUUUUUUGUUUUAAACACUACUAGGAAAAUAUCUCAUCUUUUCAGAAAGAAAACUUGCCCUGAUUCUCCCAGCCUACUGGGACCAAGUUCAGAGUUUGACUGCAAUUCAGCAGAUGUUUCAAAAUACUUUAAACAAAUGUGUGAAUUUCAUCUAACUCCUGCUUUUAGUCUUACAGAGAAUUUAGUGAAAUUUACUUACAUUGAUCCAAUGGCAAAACGUUAAAAAAAUGCUGACAAUCAAAAUGAAUGCUACUGCACAAGAGCAAGUGAUUUGCAAAAUUUAAACCAAAGUACCUGGGAAAAUGCAAAGUGCUUACUCACGUACUACUUUUCUGGAGCAGGCACAUAACAAUAAAGCUGAAUAUUCACCUAUGUUACUGAAGUGUAUUCUCUUAUACCUACUUUUGAAAAAAAGCAGAAGGUAUGGAACCCAUGCAUGUCAUUAGGCUUACAGCAGUGCUGCAGAGCUUACAAGAGGAGAAUUACAGAGAGGAAAGGCUCAGUGCCUCCGUAGAGGUUCUGGUAUGCCUCCAGUGGCCCUCUGUGACCAGAAACUUAGGGACCAAACCACUUGCUUCUUCAGUGGAAUGGGAAGGAGGAAGGGCUGGGGCAAGGGGGGAAUUCAGGGAGUUCUAUGUUUUCAGAGAUUGCGUUUUGCAGAGAUUUUACAUGUCAAGGGGUAGUACUGCUCAAAGGAUGAAGAUAUCUGGCCUACAGUGUUUGAUCAGACUCUAAAUUAAAAUUAAGUGAAAAUCUAGGUUGAUGUUGAAAUGUAUUCCUUGGUGCUACUAAAUUUCUAAUAAGCUGGAUAUAAAAGGUUAUAAAUCAUACAUGUAGUCUUGCUCUGUAAUGGCACAAAACAAAGUUGAACAUAAUUUUUAGUACUCUCUUAAGGAAGAGAUUGUUCUUUGUAAGCUCAGUUAGGUAGUUUGUUAUGCAUGAAUACAUUAUUCUAGCAGACUGGUUCUCACAACCAGGCACAUUCAAUUCAUUCAAUUCUUAGUGUAAAAAAGUCACACGUAAUAUUUGUAGAGAUUUUCAAAGCAACAGACAUGGUAUUUUAAAAUCAUUUUGUAGAGGAUGAAGACUCGUAUCAACAUGGGCUUCAAAAAUGAUGGAAAUGUGAAGUACAUUUCCAUCAUGCCUAAAAGCACCAUGGUAAACUGGGAAAGGGAGACUGCACUACAACUCCUGAGUGACUACAUUUUGCGUCCAAAUAUAUACCACUGAGUCCAGGAAUCCCCAGACAUGGUGUGCUGCUUCUGCCUUGUUUUGCUGUUUCACAGAAGGAGGAAAGUAUCCUGCUGCUUGCUGGUGGCCUUCAGGGAGGUGUUGUUUCUGCACUCCUGCACAUGGCUGUACCAAGUGAUGCAUAACCCAGAAAGUGAGAGUUCUGAAAAGAUGCCCUUUGCAAGGGCCAGUGGGGAAAGAAUGAACAUGUACAGCAUUAGAAGGGGUAAUGUGCAAUCCCACUAGGCUAAGGCGAUACUGUAGGUAAGGGAUUAACCCAGGAAAAAAAAAAAAAGAUAUUAUUCCUUUAAAAAUGAAGAAAGGAAAAGCUAAUUCAAGUAAGUUGGAAAGGACUGCCUUAGCUCUGGAAAGCAUUAGUAGUCAAAAAGUUCAUUGCUGAAAGGUAAGUUCCUUAACUAAAAAUAAGCUGUUCAAUUGAUGAAGCAUGUUUUAAAAUUACAUAAUUUACUUUAUGAAAAUGCUUAGACUUCCUGAUUCUUGAUCCUUCCUAAUGGUUAAGUUGAUCCUUUCAUUCCUCUUUUCAACAUCAAAAGAGACCUCUGCCGCAUAUUAUUAAAUGGGCAGUUACACUGAGAGAAAUAACUCAAUUUAGUGGUUGGGAAUCCUGAAAGAGGGACAGCAUUUCUAAAAACUGCAUUUAAUAGUUUUGUCCUCGUGUUGUUUAGUACGAAAACAGGUGUUUAAAAUUAUGCGCAUAGUUGUUUAGAAAAUAUUGUCUCUUUUUAUCCCUGUUAGCUCGUAUGGAAAUCGCAGGUUAUUUGUUUUUAUGCCUGUUUGUUAUUUGCAAAAGGAGGAAGACAUCUUUAUCAUUAGACUGUAUAGAAUGGUUGCAUCUUGCAAGAGUAGCUAAUUUUGAAGGACACAGAUGUGCUGCUUUGACACAGGCCAACACUGAAGGCUAUUCAGUUGCAGAAGCAGAUAUUUUUCAUCUCUCUGUAAAAUUAGUAUCCAACUCAUUUCUUCCAACAAACAAAUAGAUGGGCAGCUGCACAUCAUGCACAAGGUUAGAAUAAGAAUAGCACCUGCUAAUGCCAGGAGUGGACUUUUCUUUUCAGCAGCUUUCAAUAUCCUAGGUUUAACCAGAGAUGCAUAGCCUUUCCCAGUUCACAGACCAGAAUAAAACUGUUUUAGUGAUGCUGGCACUUACACUGCAGACCAUGCACCAGGAUGCUGUGAGGGAGAUUUUCUCUAGCAGAAAACAGACAGAAAACAGAAAAUUCAUGCUAUGGUCUCCUUUGGUUUCAUUCAGUUUAUUAUUGAUCAUAUUACUCCAUAGCUGCAUUCAUCUCCAUCUUUUCCAGACAUACUGGUUUAUAUUUUAGUGAAUUUAAGCAUUUUUAAUAUUGAAGACUUCUUGUUCCUUCCUAAAUGCUCAUUUUUAUUUGUAUGAAAAACUGAGAAUCAUCUGAAGGACAUGUCCAAGAAAAGCAUUUUUCAGGAUAUUAAGACAUGCUAUUCAGUACAAAAGGGAAAUGUAAUGGGCCUUAAACUGAGAUAAACAGGACAACUUUGGUGUGAACUUAGGGAAAAGCAUGCAAUAGUUCAGUCGUUAAAUAGCUAAGAGCAGAGGAUGGUCUUACUAGAAAUUAUCCUUCUUUUAAAAACAAAUGUCCAUGAAGGAGGUCAGAAAAAAAUAUGUAAUACCAUAUACAUUCCUUUUUAUUGAUAUACUUUUAAGUGUUUCUUGAAUCUGUCAUAUCGGGCUUUAUCUGGUACUGUUUGAAGCUAAUGGAGAUCACCGAAUUGACUUAAGGCCUUAGUUCAGCCUAUAAAUGAUCUAAAUGAUGUGCUAAUUAACUAUGUAUAUUAAUAUCUCUACUUUGCCUCCUCCAGUUGGUGGUCCGAUUAUUUUACUGUAUCUUCUCUUAAUCAUAAACCUCUGGAAGAAGUAAGUAUUUUCUUUGACAAUAGAGCUACCUAGAAAACGUGAGUAAUAAAUGAAAUUUGGAGAAAGGGGGAAAGAGCAUUUCAAAUAUAAGUUUACUGGGGUGGUAUGCAAGCUUGUCAGCAAAAAUAAAAGGUCAAAGUUAUGCUCCAAGAUAUUUUCAAUAACAUAUUUUAUUUCCCCAAAAGAUCUUUAUACACUACUCAUUGGAUUUUGGCCAAGGAUUUUUAAGUGUUUUUAAUAUUGUCAUCUGUUAAUUAUUUAGACUGUAUGCUGUGCUAGACAAGACACAAUCUAGCUAUGUGAGAAAACACAUUCAUUGAUCACUGAGACUCUCUGUAAAACAUAUUACCAUUUAGGAGUAACUGGAGAGUAGAGGGUAGAGGGUUUAUGUUUGGAGAAUCUUGAUACAACUACUAUAACAUUCCUUCUGCCUAAAGUACUCUAAUAUACACUAAUAAUCAAGUUAACUCUCUAAUAUGCAGUCAUUAUACUAUUCUGGUCAAUAUAAACUUAAUUUAUCUUUACGAAAAGAGGUAAUGUCCUUGAGAUGAUCUUGUUGCCAUUCAGAGAGGUUGUUAUCAUACCAUAAUAGCAUUCAAAGAUAUAAAUGGGGAAGGUUGAGAGUAAGCUUUAAGAGCUAGUUUUGAGGCUUGACAGCACUAUGGCACUCUUAUCAGAAUUAGCUAGAUUGCAAAAAUGUGGCUUUCAGUUUAAGAUAACGUUUGUUUUCAAUUCUUUCAGGCUCUUCCUGCUACUGUAUCUUGGAUUAUACAUUAUUUUAUUAAAGAUUAGUGUGAGUUAUGAAGUCCAAUAAUAGCUUGUCGUAAACCAUAUGCCAUAUACAGGGAGCAUAAGCCUCACAUGGUUCCUAAACAUACUGUUUGUUGUUUUAUAGCCUAAUCCAACAGCCUUAGCAGACCCUUAGGAAAUUAGGUCAGUCAAUAUAUGGAAAUAAGACCAUUUAAAUAUGUUUUUUAAAUAUAUCACACAGUGAUUUCCUCUAGGGUUCUGUUCACCUUAAGUCAUAAGCUACAUGAUUAUUAGAACAAUGUAAACUGUGCAUCUAUAAACAAUUUUGGGGUACUUUUCAAAAUAUUGUUCUUUUUUUGACCUGUCAAGCAGCAGAGACAAAUAACAUAAAUGUAACCUUACAGUACCAAAUCCAUUUUUACUGAAGAAGAGCUUCAUAUAUUUCUAAAUGUUUCUCAGUUUCUCAAGUAAAAUUUUAUGAUGUAUCUUUGUUGAUUUAUUAUAUCUGCAUGUUUUUUAUUACUUCUUUCUUGAUCAAGACUUCAUAGAUAUACCAAAGAUGCCAAGAUUUCAGUGCA